rnacentral:lncRNA from 1 species
AUGGCGGUAUUUGCUGCGGCGUGGAGCUGUUUUGCUGAAUGCCCAUUUCAAUGGGUUGACAGGUAUUCUAAGAGGAGGUGAAACUCAGGAGGAUGACAGAAAACAUGCGAGGGAGGCUGGUGUGGCUGAUUGUGCCUUAUCGUAAUGGCCUUUCCUCCUGCAGAGCCAAGAUAAGGCAUGCCUGCUGUUUAGAGACCACUCACUGCAGCUGUAAUGUUACACAACAUCUAGUGUUUCUUAAAUUUAAAAAACUCACUUCAAGA